UUCUAUACAUUUGUAGUUAGAUCUAAAUACUUGAUCGGGUUCAGCUUUUUUGAUUUUUGAUUCUUUUUGACAGGACACUUCAUAGAUGGUGGUGUGCACUUCCAUCAGGGGGCACGUAACGUCAGUUUCCCUCUUUUCAUGGUAUUGGUGAUGACACUGAUGAUUAAUUGAGGAUCGUUGUCUAAAUCUGUCUAUUGAUUAGGGAUUUCUAAAAUUGUGAUAGUCUAAAUCUAUCAUUCCUUUGGGAUUUACUUGCUGGAAAACUUCUGUAAGGAGAAAUUCUCUGUAUCAAACUCUCUGGUUGCCUUGAGGUAUGGUUUAUAUAGGUAAGGAAUAUAAUGGUUUGAUUUUUUCUCCUUUCAGAAUAAGCAGUUGGUUUCUUAGUAUCCUCCAUAGACACCAUAUGAACUCAUGUAUUUAAAUAUAUUUGAUUUGUUAAAUUUAUUGUACUUGUUAUCCUUAUUGAGGCUAAAGAUUGUCCUGUCUUUGGCCAAUGGGUACCUCUUCAGGUUGGUUCCUGGGUCCUUUUGAAUGACCUUAGUAGUCUCAUUGCUUCCUUGCCAUCUGGUAUGAAGGAUGCUCCAGGCUUAUAUUGUCUGUUUCCUACCUCAGACCUGAAUUAGUAUCUCUGGGGACUCCCGGUUUCUUUCAGAGGAAAACAGUACUUAUAGAUACAAUCUGGAUGCUGAGACUGCUUAUUGCUACUGGUCUUGUCAUUAUUUUUAAGCCCUUUUGGUGGACAGAGAUAGGAAAUACAAUUAAGAAAAUAUAUUCUGAGUUCAUACUGAUAUUUCCCUUUCAAAUUCAGGACUACAGGAUUUUUAUAGUACCUCAUUGAUCUAACAUCUGUCCGUAUCACUUUUCCUCCACACCAAAAGUCCUGGCUCUUAACGUUACGAUCGCAGCCUCAGAAUAGCAAUACCAACACUAUUGCCCACAGUAUGAAUAUUGGAAACAGUUUAAGAUUUAUUGUUGUUACUUUUUGAAAUUCUUUUUGUCCUUAGGAUUUAUUCCACUAGAGAGGCCCAGUUAAGUUGUGUUUUAAAAUCACUUCAAAUAGUUUCUCUCUGUGGUUAUGCUAUGGAAUGGAUAUAUAAUUAGUUUUGUUUCUUCGUUUUACUUUUGAUUUUAGAGAUUUCAUUUUUAUUACUUAAUUUGCUUCAUAUUGUUUCUAAGAGUUCUUAUAUAAUUGAAAAUAUUAAUCCAUUGACAUAUAGGCUACUUUUUCUCCUUCUUGGUUGGUCAUUUGUCUUUUAAUUUUGUUUAUGGGUUCCUUCCUAUAGAGAGGUUUUGAGUUUUUAUAUGUCUAACCAAUCAAUGUUUUACUUUGUAAUUUCUGCCUUUGGUGUCAGAAUUAGGAAGACUUUCUUCAUUCCAGUAUUCAUACAUGUUCGUCUAUAUUUUCUUUUACUUCCAUUGAAAGCUUUAAGAUUUGAAUACUUAAUACAUCUGGACUUUUUUGGGGGGUGUUAGCUGUGACUUAGGGGCCUAUUUUAUUUUUUUCCAAACAGUUAGCUAGUUGUCUCAACAUCAUUACUUGAUAAUUCGUCCUUUCUUCACUUUUAAAAAUACCCCCACUAUCAAAUAUAACUUAUUGGAUGUGCUCGGGCUUUUGGACUUUCUAUUUAUUCCAUAAACUGACUAUUCUGGUCCUAGUGUUUCAGUGUUUUUAAUCACUGAAAUUUUAUCUUGCGAGACACAACUACCCUGAUUAUCUAUAUCUUCCAGAAUUUUAUAUUGGCUAUUUUUCAAAGUUGAAAUUCUAUCAUAUUCUUAUGAAGGCAUCCCCGUUCUCAUGGAUGAACAAAUAAACGUGGAUGGCUCUGACAUGCGCCUUUGUGAAUCCUAAUUAGAACUCUUAUUUGAAGUUGGGUCUUGGCAAAGCUCUAUCUCGGACCUUAGCUGGGUGACUUUUGAAAACUUCUAGUAGAAUGUCCCAUUCCUUACAAUUCUUCCUGUUCUGGAUUCUCAUCAGGCUAGUUCUUUGUAAAGUGGGAGUGUAAAUCCCCGGCAUUGUGGGGGGCAGUGUGCAGUAGGCUCAGAUAACAAAAGGUUUUGCAGGUGAUCCAAGGUUACCAAAUUUUAUUUUGCCACGUAGAAACACAAAAGAAAGAAAGAAUGUGGCAGUCACCAGCUUCUAGCACUAUUGUUUAAUAUAAGAGUACGAUUGAGUUGGUCUUAGAAUAAGAGACAGAACUUCCCAAGACUAGAUUCCUUACAAUGACACCCCCCCGCCCCCAACCCGUUUUCCUCAUUUCACAUUGAACAAAUGAAAACUUGGUGAUGGACCAGCUCUGGUCCACAGCCCGGCGCUUGGGAACCACUGCGCUAGUUUGUAUCUAGGGACCAUUCCAGCUCUUAUAUUCCAUGAUUGCAUGAUUCAAUGUGAAAAGAGAAAAUUUAAUUAGUUGUGUCAUCUUAGGUAACUUCAAUAAUGAGCCUAAUUUAUACCCAUAGGGAUGACAUUGACUGGAAGUUUGUAAUAGGUUAUGGUCACACCUGAAAAAGGUUUUUUACCACCUAAAAGUCUGCACCUACAAUUUAGGAAGUAGAUGAUGCUUUGGUCUUAUGGCUGAAACCUGGUAGUGGCGUGAAACUGAGAUAAAGAUUAAGACCAUUUUAGCUUUGAAAUGUCUAAAGUGAAAUGACGUACUAGGUCUAUUAUACUGUAUGAUUGAACUCUAUAGGGAAUCUCAGUAAAGCGACUCCUAAAGUCAACAGACCCUCACGUCUGAUUCUGCACUUUUUUCUCCUCCCUGUGUCUCCCCUGUCAGAUUCUGGGAGGAGCUACAAAGACCCGUCAAGUCCUCUCUAGACUUAGGAGGAAAGGAUGUGGAAGGCAUCAUCCUGCACCAGCACCAUCUGCUCUGCCUCUGUUUGCAAGCCUGUCUCCCUGCUGGAGGUGCUGGUGCAGACUCAACGUUCAGAAUAACAGAAAAUGGAGCUGCCAGGCACUAGCAUUUGCUAAGUCCUGUAGGGAGAAGGAUGUGUUGUUGACUCUUGUAACACCCGUGUCUGCAGAGAGCACACUCGCCAUCUGAUAAGCUGAGCUGGGCCAAUCAGAUUCCUGGGCCAGGAGUAUCUUUGUACAUUAUUCCAACUAAUGACAGGACAAGAGAGAAGAACUGACAUAAGCAAAAUAUUUCCAAGGAGUAGAGAGGACUCAAAGUAAAGGUCAGAGCGUGGUGAGUUUGGAAGAACCUGAUCCAGGACAAGAUAAUGAUUUGAAUUGUUCUGCCUCUGGCAAUAACUGGUCAUUGUUAGGCUCUUGUGGAAGAUGAAGCUGCAUUUCAUAGUCAACAGAGCCCAUCAGUGGAAUGGGUCAAAUGGGUGGUCUGAAGGGGCAGAGAGCUGCCCACUGCUCAUUGAUUCCAUCAUUUUGACUAGUCAGAGAUCUUAUGGAGGAGAUGGGUGAGAACUCAGGCCUGAUAGCUGAUCACUAAGGGUCCACUGCACCCUAAGAUUCAGCGGCCUUUUCUCUGCAUUGGUUCAGCGCAAUAGCCAUACAGAGAAGGUGCUUUGGGUUCCCUGACUGGGACUGAUAUGUUGGCUUAAAGGCUGCUACGGCGUCAGUUUUAUUUUGUGCAGUGUCAGCCAGCUGGUGUCUACCACAUGGUGGCGCUGUGGGCCACAAAGUGGUUGGCUACACAGGGCUAUUUGGUGCCAUGAGGACUUCUCUGCAAGAGAUAAGAGGGUUCUUCCAGCCUGCACCCUGACUCCAGGACAGGUGGGCAGGACUUGGUAAAUUGUCUUAUGCAGCCAGGCAACUUCUCUAUGAUUAAAAAACAAGAAAACAAAACCUUUAAAGAUUGGUUCUAGAGCAGGGACUUGUCUUGCUUUCCUGCUUAUCCUUGUGUUGCCAAGGCCUAGCUGAGACCCUUGCAUGGAAGGGGCAAUCAGCAAAUAUCGAUGAGUUUCCACAGCCUGUGCUCUCAAGGAGCCUCACUGUUGGGAGGUUUUCCCUGUCCAGGAAAUAUCCAACAUGCAUGGCAACCCCACACUGAGAAAUCCUUAGGACUUUAUUGCUUCUGCAAGUUGCUGCACUGUGUCUCAUUUUGUUUAUAUUUGCAUCUAAUUAACUUGUUUAUACCUGCUGCAGCCAGACCUGGUGGUCUAGUGGUUAGACUAGAUGGACUAGACAGACUCGGAAGGAGGACCUGGCCACUUGCUUCUGAAAAAACUGGCCAUGAAAACCCUAUGAAUGGCAGCUGAGCAUUGUCUGACAUAGCGCCAGAAGAUGAGAGGAUGGCACAAAAAAAGGCCAGGCAGGCUUCUGCUUUGCUGUGCACAGUGACAAACAGAAAUGGCAAGUAAUAGGAUGUAUUAGAGAAUAUGAGGAAGCCAUUUGGUAUAAACCUAAUUCGGCCUGACCUUGUCUUUCCAAAAGGGCCUGACCGUGGCUGUUGAGCAUGCAUUAUAUGUCUGCUUUAGACACUCCCUAUGGCAAGAACAAAGGCCCUUGAGAUAGAGGUGCAACUUCCCUCCCCUUCCCAACGUUGGCAUUUCCUUAAGGAUAAGGCAUCUUUCCUUAGGCUAGGAACUGAUUGCUGUGCUCACCUGUGACCACCCAGCUCGAGACAAUAGGCUUGCCUUCUGCUGCGCCCGCUGAGAUAGCAGACCCACAACCUGCUGUGUCCAUCAAGCGCUGUGCCGACAGGGCAAUCUUGUGACUAUUGUGGGAGGGACAUUUCAAUCAUAUGUGAAACAUCCUGUUUGAGGGUAUAUAACCACUCUGUGCACCCCACUUCUUCGGUGCCCUUUCUUCCUUCGGGAAGAAAGGCCCUGGGCCAUGGUCCUCAGAUUUUAGCUCAGAAUAAACUCUCCCAAAUUUUCAUUUAUAGAUUGGUUAUGGAUUAUUUUCGUCGACAACAGGGUUGCUAGGAGUCUUGAGGGCACUAACAGCAUGCUGCAUCUCCUUCCUUGUUCCAUCAAUUUCUUAGAUUUACUCAGCUAUAACUGAAUCUCAGCUUUGGCUGACAUGUCCUGAGUUGCCCUUGAACUGCCCCCUACUCCUCAACUUGCCAGCACAUAUGCAUCCCACCUCGUCCAUCACCACCACCUCUACCUCCACCACCACCAUUACCACCUCCACAAAUUUAUCCAUGUAAUUCUGGGGAUUGUUGCUCAUUUGUGAAAGCAGCUUCUACUUUAGAGUGAGCAGAAAGGACCUGAAGAAGGGAGUCAGGAGCCCCAAUUUGAAUCCUGACAGCCACACACCUGUUUUGUGACCUUGGGAAAGUCAUGUGACCUUUUGUUUUCUCACCUGUGAAGUGAGGAGGUUGGCAGAGAUGAUCUCCUAGACUUAGAGAAUUCUAGAAUCCCAUGAAUGCCUUAAGCUUUAGAAAUUCACUUUUACCUUUAAAAACGUUAGUCAAUUUACUAAUUAUAACCUGAAAGUCCUUUUGAUAUUUAAAAAAUCCUCAUGCUUUCUCUUUGUUCUUUGAAAAUUUAGAGCUGCCUUGUUUCAUAAUGCCUAAAGCCUGUAUUUAUAAUCAGCAUCUAUUUCAUGGUUCUGAGCCAUUUUUCACAUAAUUGUCUUUUUUUUUUUUUUGCUUUAGAAUUAGUUCUUUUGUGGUUAAUGUAUAGCAGAAAUGAAAUGACUUUUGAAAAAGCCCUUUAGGAAUUAUGGGGUCUGCAGCUGUAUCGCUAGGGGGCCACACAGCUUUGUGAGAGAGCUGGGUCUCAGAAGGGGAAGGCAGCCCCAUUCUUGGGAGAGAGAGAGAGAAAGGAGCAACUGAGGGCAGAGGCAGGUGGUGUGUGGCAGUGGUGUAGACAGGAGUUUGAGGGUGGCCUGGAAGAAGCCAGAAAGGGUGGUCUGGACUCCAGAGGGGAGGGGAUGAGGUGCAUCCAUGAGACCAGCAGGGGCGGCAGGUCACAGGGAGGUGAGAGCUGAGGUGGGUGCAUGUGGAGGUUCUGUUUAUAUGUGGGGCUUUCCGGGCACUCUGGGAAGGAACACUGCCUUACCCAGGACCCACAGAUGGGUAGGUCUAGGGGCAUAUAGGUUUCAUGUAAAUUCUGAGAGAUCUGAGAAGUUUAGGGAGGGCAUCAAAGCAAAGAAUGGGACUUCCUAUUAGUCAAAAGUGUAGAGGUUUGGAGCAACAAUAUUUGGAGUGUGGCUGUAUAUAAAUGAUCACAAAAUUUCUACCCUUUAGCUGCUGAAGGCUAGGUGGCAAACAUACUUGGGUUUAACACCCCAUAACCUUGUGUAUUUUCCUCAUUCUAGAGUGUGGAUUCAGGCAUUCUCAACACAUUCUUUAGUCACAUGGGUGGGUUGCCAGUUUCCACCUAGAAGGGGUUUAGGGGCGCCAGUCUGAGCGGGGGGUGAGGACUGGAGGCCUCAGUGAAGUUGCAUGAGCUGAGGAACACUCCGUGCUUUGCUUGGAUUGUAUGCCGUUAGAGUAAGUGAAAAUAGAAAAUGAAAAGAUUUUCACUCUCAUUCUUAAAUGAUAGAAUAUUUAGGUAUAGAAUACUAGGAUGAGAACCGCUUUCCACCAUUACGUUAAAGAUACGGUUCCACUGUGUUCUGGAAAACUCUGUCAUCACUCCAGAUGCUGUUGCUUUGUAGUCGAUCUGUCCUUUUGCUUAAGUUAAGUUUAAGAUGUUCUCUUUAUCCCUGCAGUUCUACCACUUUGCUACGGUGUUUCUAAGUAAGGGGUGAUGUGAUUUGUCUAUACUUACCGUGCUACAGUGUGAUUUUAAAUCGGAGGCUUCCUAUCUUUUUAAAAAACUUAAAAAAAAUUGAAGUAUACUGAAUAUAAAGCUAAAUGGGGUAAUUAACUGGAUUUUGUAGAGGCAGUUCUAGGAUUUUUUUCUGCAGAUGGUUGGCCAGUUCCAUUUGCAAAACAAAUAAUAGCAGCUCACACUGACCGGGCAUUUAGUGUGCAAUAAGUACCUCAACGAGAGAAAUUAUUAUUUCCCCAUUGCACAGAGUGGACUACUGAGCCUCCGACAGGGUCAAGCUCCCAUGACUAUAAAUGACAGAGGCAGGGUUUGAACCCAGGGCAAUUGGCUUUAGCAGCUGCUGUCCUUAACUACCUUGCUAUGCUUCCUUUUGACAUUAGCCUAAAGUUUUCAAACAUUUGGUCUGCUCAUUUUUCUUUUUUAAAACUUAUUUUUAUUAUAUUUGGAGAGGCUCUUGGGUGCUAAUGACGAUUAUCUGAAGGGGACAAGCACCUCCACCCGUCACCAGGUUCUCCUACCCUCAGGUUUGAAGCCAUUUCCCCAAGCACGUGUCUGCCCGGCUUGCCCCGUAAACGCCACUCCUCUGCCUCAGAAAGAAGCACUCCUGCCGGGGGAACCUCUAGGGUGUGCGGGGCCCUGGGGCAAGUAUUUUUCAUGAGACUGUCUACAUAAACAAUUUGAUGAAAACAAAGAAUUACAGAAUUCAUGGGUUCAUGUGUGACCUAGUGAUUUGUUGAUAGCAGCCUAGAAAAAUAGGUGGAGAAGAGGUACUGACAGAUUUGUUUAUUGUCCAGUCAGUGUGUGCGAAGACUCUUUGUAGUGACCUGACACCAUCUCAUCCUGUUCAGGUCCAGGAACCGUCUCUCCGUGUUCUUUAUUGUCAAAUACACCAUCCCUGGCUGAUUUCACACCCCUCGUCAUGAGGGAAAGGCAGCAACCUGCUAUUGCUCCCAAUGCUGUGGCUGUUGGUAUUGCAACAAUAUAGAUCUGCCUGUCUCUGCAAUUCCCUGCUGCCUGUUACUGAAUGCUGUCGCAUUGUUACUUCUGGUGCUGCAUCUGUAUCGUGCCCACUGUGAAUACCGGCUUCCAAGGACUCUCUCGAAUGUUGUCACAGUGCGUUGUUGUUAAUGAGCACAAACACAAAUCUUACCCAGAGUACACAGGAAAAUGAGAAUAGUCAUUUUCUGUUUCUUGUUAAAUUUACCAUUUGGAAUUUUGUAACGUAAACGUAGAACACGUCUUUUGAUCAUGCCCUCUCUUAAAAUGUUUAGGCUUUAAUAACUGUGUUUCUAGAAUGUGGUCUCUUUCAAAGUUGACACAGCGUUGCGUGCAGGGAGGAUAAACGAGGGGGUGGGGGUGGAGUGAGAAGAGCAAGGCGCGUCCCUCGUGCAAGGCAAGUCCGUAUGGUGUUCUCUGCCAUGGCUUAAGACUGACCCAGGAGAGCACGAGGUCACCAUGCUGACUGGAGGCAAGAGAGGGCCCAUUUGUGUUGCAAAGCAACAGUCUCAAAAGCCCUUUGAGGAUACAGGUGAGACCAACCACCCCCAGAGGGCUUCUGGACACUUGGCAUGGAGCCUGUGAGAGCAUGGGAGACUUCCCUGGGUGCCGACAGUCGGGGGCACACAGGGUAAAUGACCCCUGCUGCUUCUGAUGUUGUAGAUCUGAGGUGGCACUGAGGAUAGAACAUGGAAGGAUGAGAGUUGACACAUGGGCCCACACACGUCCCUGAAAUUAUUCUGUGAAAAAUGAGAGUAAGUGUCACCCCAGAUCAGCAUGUUAGUACCAUUUUAGGGGCCCAAUCUUGCAUGAUCCUGCAGAGAAAUGUUGCACCAACUAGCGUGGUCUGCUUGCCUGGCUGCUGUCCUGGAACUGGGGGCACAUAGGCACAAGUCCCAGAGCUCUUUUGUGCAUCUGAUCCACCCCACAUUCAGGAUAGAGAGUCAGAAACCACUGAGAAGGGGAGAAACGGGCUGAGUUCUCUGCGUCCUGGCCUGGGCUUGAGGAGCCCUGUCAGAUGGCACAGGUGGCUCCAGCCAGUUCCGCGCCCUGGAGGGGGACUUAGAAAAUUUCAAGGAAGGCAUUUAAGAGUAGAGCCCCAUGAGGCCUGGGGCCCCUCGUCUGCCCGGCUGGGCCAUGGAUUGCUCCUGCCCUUCUCAUCAAGAUGACUGCGUCUGCAUUUGCAGCUGAGGAGGCAGCCCUAGCCCCCGGAACGCCGGGCACAGGAAGAGAAGCAAGGCUGGUGAGCUCCGGUUUGACGGCUCAGGAUGGACGCAGAUCCUUCCAGUUAGGUCCCUUGUUUGAUACAAUCACCGCUUUUCCCGAAGGUCCUUGGAUAAGUUCUAUCAACUCUGGAAAUACCCUCUGCUCACAAGCAAGUGAUGCUGCCACAAGGUUCUCCAAGCCCAUAGGAAACUAAGUGCAUUUACCCUGGAGCUCAGAUACAAGUCUAUGCGCACGAGAGUAGAAGAAAAUCAAAUGACAACCAUUACACUGCAUCUAGAAUCAUCCCUAUUCAUCUUGAAGUAAACUUGUUCUUUCUCACGUUUCUUCCUCUGAGAUGGGAUUUUCUAGGACAUUCUUUAGUCCUUAUGCUCCCCAAGUCUACUAAACCCAAGUGGCACAGUGGAUAUUUCUGUGGGAGCUGUACCUGUCCGUUCCUGGCCUGGGAGUCCAUGUUUGUUUUGAUUAGGAUGCAUUGGCUUUAAGUCAUAGUAAAUCCCAACUGAAAUUGGGUUAAGCAGUAAAGAAGUUAAUUGUUGUACAUUACAAAAACUUUAGAGAUGGGAUCUCUGCAGGUGAGGAACAUAAAUUAGAACUCUGGCUCCACUUCCCUAGGCUUCUCUUGUUCUGCCCUCCUCCAUGUGUUGCCUUCAUCUUCAGGCCAGUAGCAACCUGGCUUCAAUACUUCUAAUCAUCACAUCUACUCAUGAUUAUGCUUAGAUGGAGGAAGAAGGUGUGUGUGUGCAUAUGUGUAUGUGUGUGUGUGUGUAUAUUGGUGGAUGGGGCUGUCUGUUUUACUGUCUUCUCAUUAGGAGCAAAGAAACAUUUCUUAGAAUCUUCCAAGGCUUUCCUUUAUGAAUCACUAGUCAAAACUGGGUUGUAUGCUCCAUCCCCUAAACCAAUCACUGGGAAGGGGAAUGAGUCACAAUGAUUGACUUAAGCCAAACAGAAUAUAUCCCUUGAGCUAGAGAUAGGGCCAUAGGAGGGAGAGUGGAUACACUUCUUUAACUAGAAAAAGUGAUGGUAGUAGAAUGGAUGUUGAGUAGGCAAGCCAACAGUUCCUGUUACACAGGGACAUAACUGAUAGGAUCACCUUCACAGAGAGCUGAAAAAUUUUUCGUUGGCUAGUGGUCAAUCUGAUUUUCUUUCUUGAGAAAAAUUUAAACUAAGAGAAACAUAUCUUCUGCUUAGGUGGUAGUCAAUACUUAACUAAAAAUUCAUGUGCCAUUGGGUCUGGGUGGGGAAACAAUUUUUACUUGAUGAAGACGCAUAUGGUAGGGAGAGCCAGAAUCAUGGAGUGGUUUUCUAUUCCUUGCAUACAGAAAGUCUUGACCAUGAUGUUCGUAUAUGUUUGCAUCUCAGGGUAAACACAGUGUAAGUUUAAGCUGGGCCCUCUGCCUUCCUAGUGUGUGUAUAUUUGCAAUUCUCAAACUAAUGAAGAAAUUCCAGAUGGGUAAAGAUUACUAAAGCUAAGAUAGUGCUUGCUCUUUGAGACUUACCUGUUCUUGAGUGUCUGGAUAAAAUCCUCAGUGGUAUUUGUCUGGGAGUCUCCACUUAAUAAGGUCAACAAUACGUCCAGUUCCUCAGACCUGACUCUUUUCCACUGAGAGAAUCCUGGGUGACUCACACAGUCUUCUGAGCACAAUGAGAGCUGGAACUGUCAGUAUCUUCUAUGCUUGUCCCCUGAAAGCCUUGAUCACAGUUUCUGUUGCUACUCUUCAUCAGGUCCUUAAUUUGGAAUGAUAGUUUAGCUGGGUGUAAAAUUCUAGCUUGACAGUUGUUUUCCCUCUUAACUUUGAAGCUAUGAUUAUAAAGUCUUCUGGCAUUUGUUGGUGCUGAUGUCAGUCUCAUUGCCAAGGAGUGGUAAUAAAUAUUUUUUUUCUUUGCUUAUUUUAGGAUGUUCUUUUUAUUGCUGAUAUUCUACAUUUUCAUGACAAUGUAUGAAGUAAAGCUUAAUUCUGCUCAGGAGACAAUGUGUUUUCAACACUAGGACAUAUGUCUUUCUUCAAAUGUAGAGAUAUUUCCUCUUCCCGAUUCUGACCAGUCUUCUUUUUUGGAAUUGAAUUAAGUGCAUGUUAAAGCUCCUCAUCCUGUGUGUCAUGUCACUAAAAUAUUUUUCAAGCAUUAUAUCUCUCUCUUUCCUUGUGUUGGGUCAUUUCCUUUGCUUGCUCUACUACGUCAGCAUUGCUGUGUCUAGUCCAUUAUUUAACUUAACUAUGAUUCUUAUAUCAAUGACUAUAUUUUAAAUUGUCACCAUUUUUAUUUGGUUCAUUUAAAAUUAUCACCUGUACUUUUUUCCCCAAUUAUUUUUUUUGGGUGAGAUUUAAAGUAUACUUAUUUUACAAUCUUUUAUAUUUUUCUAUUAGUUGGAGAUCCUGAGAUGUGAUUUCUCUUGGUUGUCUCAUAUGGUGACUUUCUCAUCAUGGUUUGUUUCCUCACAUGCUUUAUAAUUUUCAGUAGUGAACUUGUCUUUAGUGAAAGAUGUUUUAGUAUGAGAAGCUUGUAUAACUCCUG
ensembl:lncRNA